GACGAACGCUGGCGGCGUGCUUAACACAUGCAAGUCGAACGGAAAGGCCCUGCUCUUGUGGGGUGCUCGAGUGGCGAACGGGUGAGUAACACGUGAGUAUCCUGCCCUUGACUUUGGGAUAACUCCUGGAAACUGGGGCUAAUAUAGGAUAGGAGCUCCUGCUGCACGGUGGGGGUUGGAAAGUUUCGGCGGUUGGGGCUGGACUCGCGGCUUAUCAGCUUGUUGGUGAGGUAGUGGCUGACCAAGGUUUUGACGGGUAGCCGGCCUGAGCGGGGGACCAGCCACAAUGGGACUGAGAUACGGCCCAGUCGCCUACGGGAGGCAGCAGGGGGGAAUAUUGCAGAAUGGGCGGAAGCCUGAGGCAGCGGCGCCGCGUGCGGGAUGACGGCCUUCGGGUUAUAAACCGCUGUCGCCUGUGACGAAGCGUGAUUGACGGUAAUGGGUAAAAAAGCACCGGCUAACUACGUG
rnacentral:rRNA from 1 species